rnacentral:rRNA from 1 species
UGGGGAAUUUUGGACAAUGGGCGAAAGCCUGAUCCAGCAAUGCCGCGUGUGUGAAGAAGGCCUUCGGGUUGUAAAGCACUUUUGUCCGGAAAGAAAUCCUUGGCUCUAAUACAGUCGGGGGAUGACGGUACCGGAAGAAUAAGCACCGGCUAACUACGUGCCAGCAGCCGCGGUAAUACGUAGGGUGCAAGCGUUAAUCGGAAUUACUGGGCGUAAAGCGUGCGCAGGCGGUUUGCUAAGACCGAUGUGAAAUCCCCGGGCUCAACCUGGGAACUGCAUUGGUGACUGGCAGGCUAGAGUAUGGCAGAGGGGGGUAGAAUUCCACGUGUAGCAGUGAAAUGCGUAGAGAUGUGGAGGAAUACCGAUGGCGAAGGCAGCCCCCUGGGCCAAUACUGACGCUCAUGCACGAAAGCGUGGGGAGCAAAGCAGGAUUAGAUACCCCUGGUAGUCCACGCCCUAAACGAUGUCAACUAGUUGUUGGGGAUUCAUUUCCUUAGUAACGUAGCUAACGCGUGAAGUUGACCGCCU